CCUGUUUCAAUGAAGCACAAACGUGUAUCGACUAUUGGGCAAUUGUUUGUUGGACAAAGUGAAAAUCAGACGCCUUUGUUUCGCUUUUGGCAGAAACUUCAAUGAAUGUGUUUUGGGACCUGCCUUGGGAGGCGUAUCACUACGCAAUAGGUUAGGCCUAUUUAACAAGUGCAGUGGGAGGCACGAGGCCAGGUUCACUAUAGCUGGGAGGAGAGAGACACUGGGUACUCACCCACUCAUUCGAAUCACAUAGCGGAGAGCUCACAACCACCACCUCUCCCUAUCUUGGACAAAGCAUAAAAGGACAUCCCUUCGCCCAGGAGAAGCGGUGCAAUUUCAUCGAAGAGCUCACGCAUAAAGCAUUUUUUUCUCAAUUACAAGGUUCUGCCAGCUAUAGGGACGUUUGUGGGCCCUCCCUUGACCCCUCUCCAUUGAGUCCUUUUCUUUUGCAAGACAAAAGCCUAAACCAACAGGAGAGAGCGCUUCCAGCAAGAGAGAGCUCCGAUCUUUUAUUGUCACACCUGCAGCAUUCUCUGGUUUUGGAUUAACACAUGAAAACAUUGCUCCCUAUUUGUCCAGUAUUGGAAUGCAUGCAUCAUCUUCCCUGCAUGCUGCUUGGCUAAUGUGUAACCAGAUAGGGAAUCACCAGGGAUCAUAAAAUACAGAUGUAGGAUCUGAAUUGGAUAACUAUUUUGUUGCUGAAAAUUGUCCUGCUCGGCAGGAAAUGCAAAUUUGUAGUGUAAUUGAGGUCUAAAAAGGCUUUUAAAGUUUGUAAUUUCCACAUUGAAAUUUCAGACGUGAUUUUCCCUUACAUUUUUGAAGGGGUUGAUACAUUUUUCGUAUUAUAAUCCACAUAAUAAUUCACAUUUCCUGUUGCUGCAGGAUUAUUUUUCUGCUGUAGCAAAGUGGCUCCAAUUAUGAUCCUACAUCUAUACCGCAGCCCUCGAGGUAUAAUAUAAUACAUUUUCAUUUUAGUAAUUUAGCAGAUGCUCUUAUCCAGAGCGACUUACAGUUAGUGCAUUCAUCUUAAACUAGGUGGGACAACCACAUUCACAGUCAUAGAAUACAUUUUUCCUCAGUAAAUCAGCACAAUCAGAGCUAGUAAGGGGGAACAUAUAAUGCUCAUGUUCAUACAGCCUCUCAUGUUCUAUGUUGCAACCAGCUCGGCCUUAUUGGGUAUUUGGAGUAUGGUGAAACUCUAGGUUUGUGAUCUGAGUAUUCCCCAGUUACUUGUAAUGAGAGUUUGAGGGGCAGAUAAUGAGAGAGAGGGAGAUGAGGAGAGAGACAGACAGAAAGGGGGAGAGGGACUGCUUAUCAGUGCAGUGUUCUGAUGCUGUGCGUGUGUGCAUGUGUGUUUCUUUGUGUGUGUGUGUGUUAUCAGAUGGGCUGAGUGUGAAGGGGAUAAUGGAUCAGAGAGAUGUGACGUGAGCUGGCACCUCAGGUGUUUCUGUUUACCAUAUAAUAGAGGUGAAUUACAGGGACACUUAUGUAUGAGGGCCUGAGUUAGACUACACCAUCCCUCUAAAACAGAACAUUAAAAUUAUACUGUAGUAAAGGGCAAGUGGUUGUGUGCCAGGGGUGAAGGGCCAAAUAAAAAUGAAAAGAGCAAUCAAUUGAAUAGCUUCUUGAUCACUGAUAGAAUCUGCUGAAACUAGAGGCAGUCAUAACACACACACGCCUAUGGGCCACUGCUACAGACAUGUGCAACAACACAUUCAGCCACAGAUAGGCCCUCCCUUCUCCACUGUCAACAUGGUCUCCUGUGGAAUCACAGACAGUUUGGCGUGGGCCAUGCGGUCACACACUCACUGAGCUCACACGCACAGCUGCUUAAGCGGGUCACGUUUCAAUGCACUUUAACCUGCUGUAUUGCCCAGCGGUCGCCGACCUGUCUUUGACCGUGGCUGGACCGUUUCUAAAGUAGUUAAACCCCUUGGUAACCCCGCUCUGAUGUCUCACAGUCUGUGGACAUGCAUGUCAAUCAUAAGGAACAGGAGGAUUAAAUCACUGAUAGCUCAUGUCUGACCUCUCACCUUUAACCCCUCACCUCUCACUCGUCAUGUUGUGUCUGUCAUGGGAAGAGAGACAUCAAGCUAGAGCGUAAAAUGACCAAUCAGACAUACUGUACAGAGAGGUCAGAGGUUGUGUUGUGACCCUGGUAUACAUAAAACAGAGAGCAGUGUGUGUCCAUAUGUGUACAUGAUGUGCAUGCAUGAGUGUGUAGGAUCCCUUUGCGUGUGUUUGUAUACUGUAUAUGAUUAGCCUCAGAUGUUUUCAGAUGAUGUUGUGGUUCUUCCCUCACUUUAUUUCUGGAGGAGCAGUGGCACACUGGAAAAUGUUUUCUUUCAUGCACAUCAAUGGAAAACAUUAUUUAAAGCGACAUCAGGUUUAACAUUCCGACUGACGCUGGAUCGCUGAACAUUUUGGAAUUACACAAUGUUUGUGUCCCAGAUCCUAUUGCCUCACAUUUCAUCUGUUUUGGGACUAAUGUAAACAUACUGUAGCUGGUGCUGCCCUCUGACUGGACAUAAAAAGAUACAGAGUUUUUAGUCAUUCCUCAAUCAUCCCAAAACAACAGUCUUUAUGAACUCAUAAAGCAGUUUUUAAAGAGUUAACUACAUUUAGAUUAUUUGGGAUCAGGUGGCACAUCAUAAAAAGCUGUUUUUGUACAUUUCAUUUGGAUGCUUAUUGGAUCUCAUAACAUACCAUAGAAUACAGUGCUCUCUGUAGAAGUAAAUACCAUAGAAUGCAGUGCUCUGUGUAGCACUUAAUACCAUAGAAUGCAGUGCUCUGUGUAGUACUUAAUACCAUAGAAUGCAGUGCUCUGUGUAGUACUUAAUACCAUAGAAUGCAGUGCUCUAUGUAGUACUUAAUACCAUAGAAUGCAGUGCUCUGUGUAGUACUUAAUACCAUAGAAUGCAGUGCUCUGUGUAGUACUUAAUACCAUAGAAUGCAGUGCUCUGUGUAGUACUUAAUACCAUAGAAUGCAGUGCUCUGUGUAGUACUUAAUACCAUAGAAUGCAGUGCUCUGUGUAGAAGUCAAUUGAUUUUCUGAUCUUACUCUGCCCCAGAAAUAGACUGAUUGGUUGAGGUCUCAUUAAUGAAAAGCCAAGGGAACUCAGGGCAGCACUCACUAAAUAUAAUUCAAACAUUUACUGUGACAUGCUGUAUGUAUGUUGAUGCCUGGUUCCAAACAGACAGAUUCAGAGACAUUCCAGCUAGCACAUUUUGUUCCCUUUGAAGUUGUGAGAACGCACAUUUUUGGUUUUCCAUUGUUUCGGGUAACGAAGCCGUAUGUUUCCUGACCGGUAAAACAUUUAAAAAAAUUAAAUGGAAGAGAAAAUAUAGCCUUUUCUGGGAACAUGCAUUUAACGUUGCAAUGAGGUUCUGAGAACAUUUUACUAUGGCUCCCUGAAGGUUUUCCCAGGUUUUAUUAACUUUCUUUUAACGGAAAUGAUAGGUUAUUUGAAGGUUAUUAAAUAACAUUCUCUAAAUGUUGUGAACGUUUUGAAUGAAAUGUUAAGGUAAUUUGGAGGUUUUUGAAUAACUAACUUAACUUUCACUAAAUAUUUCAAUCAUACUGAUAGCUUAGGUUAACUGUUUUGAACUCCAAGCACAUAUAGUACACAUGGAAAUUCAUUUGCUUAGGCAUUAAUCAUACAAACAAUUAAUUUAUUUAUUGUCAUCAGCAAGAUUCAAACUAUGAUCUCAAAUCAAAUUUUAUUGGUCACAUCACAUAUUUAGCAGAUGUUAUUGCGGGUGUAGCGAGAUGCUUGUGUUCCUCGCUCCAACAGUGCAGUAGUAUCUAACAAUUCACAACAAUACACACACAUCUAAAAGUAAAAUCAUGAAAUUAAGAAAUAUAUAAAUAUUAGGAUGAGCAAUGUCGGAGUGGCAUUGACUAAAAUACAGUAGAAUCAAAUACAGUAUACACAUAUGAGAGUGGUAAAGCAGUAUGUAAACAUUAUUAAAGUGAUUAAUGUUCCAUUAUUAAAGUGACCAGUGAUUACAUAUUCUGUUAUAUUAGUUAGCUUAGUGGGACUAUAAUUUGCUUUUCAACAGGACAAUG
rnacentral:lncRNA from 13 species